CUCACCCUUCCCUUCUGCUACCUACAAAAGCCCCCUGACAUAGCACUCUUGUCAUACUGAGACUAAGGUAGAAAAAGACACUUCCAAAGGGUGUCAAUGACAAGAGAGAAAUAGACAUAGAGUGGUCACUUCAUUUACCAACCCUGGAACCGCAGACCUCUGGGCUUCCUGACGAAAGCUGCCCACCAAAUAUGAACAGAUAGGAACCUCGUGAUCUUUUGGGGCUGUCAUCCUUCUCUCAGUCUGCCAGUAACUGGGAUCCUGGCAUUUAUCCUGGAGGUCCCUGAAGGUCCAAGAGGGAACAGAGGAAAUCUGAUUGGCACAGGGGCCGCAGUGACUGUGUCCAGUCCUUCCUCACCCCGCUGCAGAGUCAGUCCAGGAGGCCUUUACCCACAGCACUGCCACCUCCCUCCACGACCCCUGUCUUUCUCUUCCCCAGAUUAAACGCUCCCACUUCUCUCCAUUCUUCUUUCUCCACCCCCAGGCCCAUUUCUGCCUCGGUUGCCUGCCUCCAACCACAAUCCAGUUUUUUGGCUCCCAGAGACAGACAUGCCCAGAUCUGAACACCACCCACCUGGAUAAAGAAAAUGGGUACGGCCAAGACCAUAGACCUAGUGAUUGUCAGAUGAACAAUUAGACCCACAGAACCAUCCAAGCUACAGAGGACGCAUUCUGCCUUCCCUUGGAUCCUGUGGUUUGAGGAUGGAGGUCUAGGACCGUGGCAGGCUUUUUGUCCCAUGAGGGAAGGCCAUGGAGCUGAGGAAGGGGAAGAACACACACACCUAAUGGAAUCUCGAGAGAAAGUUCAGACAUCAAAAGACAGAAGCGACAGAGACCCAGAUGGAGUCUCACCCAGCCUGGAGUACAGUAGUAUGAUCUGCAACCUUUGCCUCCCAGGUUCAGGCGAUUCUCCUGUCUCAGCCUCCGGAGUAUCUGGGAUUACAGGCACGUGCCACCACGCCCGGCUAAUUUUUUGUAUUUUUAGUAGAGAUGGGUUUCACCGUGUUAGCCAGGAUGGUCUCGAACUCCUGACCUCGUGAUCUACCCGCCUUGGCCUCCCAAAGUGCUGGGAUUACAGGCAUGAGCUACCGUGCUCGGCCAUGCCUGGCUAAUUUAUAUAUACAUAUAUAUAUAUAUAUAUAUUUUUUUUUUUUUUUUUUUUUUUUUGAGACAGAGUCUUGCUCUGUCACCCAGGUUGGAGUGCAGUGGCAUGAUCUCGGCUCACUGCAAGCUCGCCUCCCAGGUUCACGCCAUUCUCCUGCCUCAGCCUCCUGAGUAGCUGGGACUACAGGCGCCCGCAUGACGCCCGGCUAAUUUUUUGUAUUUUUAGUAGAGACGGGGUUUCACUGUGUUAGCCAGGAUGGUCUCGAUCUCCUGACCUCGUGAUCUGCCCACCUCAGCCUCCGAAAGUGCUGGGAUUACAGACAUGAGCCACCGCACCCAGCCUUAUAUAUAUAUUUUUUAUUAGUGAAGAGGUUUCGCCAUAUUGGCCAGACUGGUCUCGAACUCCUGACCUCAGGUGAUCCACCCACCUCGGCCUCCCAAAGUGCUGGGAUUACAGGUGGGAGCCACCGCACCCUGCCUAAAAUGCAAAAGAUUUUGAAUGGCGAGAAUGGCGACAUGAUGCCACAAGUGGAAAAUUCCACACCUGGCUGCAUGUAAUGGGUUGAAGUCAAAAUGCAGUCAAAAACUUUGUUUCAUGUACAAAAUUAUUAAAAACAUUGUAUAAAAUCACCUUCAGACUAUGUGUAUGUGAAACCUAAGUGAAUUUAAUGGCUAGACUUCAGUUGCAUUCCCAAGAUCUCUCAUUAUGUAUAUGCAAAUAUUUUGAAAUUCAACCUGGUUCCACACAUUUUAGAUAAGGGAUACUCAAGCUGUAAUUAACAAA
rnacentral:lncRNA from 1 species